rfam:Catenulispora acidiphila DSM 44928, complete genome.
CCGGGUGUAGUGCAGAGGCAGUCACACCGCCCCCUCAAGGCGGAGGAGGCCGGUUCGAAUCCGGCUGCCCGGG